GACAGAGGUGCCGAGCGUUAGGCGGAAUCACUGGGCUUAAAGCGUGUGUAGGCGGACUUCUAAGUACCUUGUGAAAUCCCACGGCUCAACCGUGGAACUGCUUGGUAUACUGGUCGUCUUGAGCCAUCUAGGGGCUGUCGGAACAAAUGGUGGAGCGGUGAAAUGCGCAGAUAUCGGGAAGAACACCCGUGGCGAAGGCGGCACUCUGGGACGGUACUGACGCUGAGACGCGAAAGCGUGGGGAGCGAACAGG
rnacentral:rRNA from 1 species